CUCAACCUGGGAAUGGCAUUCGAUACUGUCCAGCUAGAGUCUGGUAGAGGGAAGUGGAAUUUCCGGUGUAGCGGUGAAAUGCGUAGAUAUCGGAAGGAACACCAGUGGCGAAGGCGACUUCCUGGACCAAGACUGACGCUGAGGUGCGAAAGCGUGGGUAGCAAACAGGAUUAGAUACCCUGGUAGUCCACGCCGUAAACGAUGAGAACUAGCCGUUGGACCCAUUUAAGGGUUUAGUGGCGCAGCUAACGCAAUAAGUUCUCCGCCUGGGGAGUACGGCCGCAAGGCUAAAACUCAAAGGAAUUGACGGGGGCCCGCACAAGCGGUGGAGCAUGUGGUUUAAUUCGAUGCAACGCGAAGAACCUUACCUGCCCUUGACAUCCUCGGAACUUGGUAGAGAUACCUUGGUGCCUUCG
rnacentral:rRNA from 1 species